AUUGAACGCUGGCGGCAGGCUUAACACAUGCAAGUCAAGCGAGCGGCGGACGGGUGAGUAAUGUCUGGGAAACUGCCUGAUGGAGGGGGAUAACUACUGGAAACGGUAGCUAAUACCGCAUACCAUCGGAUUUGCCCAGAUGGGAUUAGAUAGUAGGUGGGGUAAUGGCUCACCUAGGCGACAAUCCCUAGCUGGUCUGAGAGGAUGACCAGCCAAACUGGAACUUAGACACGGGCCAGCAUCCUACGGGAGGCAGCAGUGGGGAAUAUUGCACAAUGGGCGCAAGCCUGAUGCAGCCAUGCCGCGUGUAUGAAGAAGGCCUUCGGGUUGUAAAGUACUUUCAGCGGGGAGGCGUUACCCGCAGAAGAAGCACCGGCUAACUCCGUGCCAGCAGCCGCGGUAAUAC
rnacentral:rRNA from 1 species